rnacentral:rRNA from 1 species
CCGAAAACUAUUUAGGUAGUGCCUCAAGUAUUACUGCGGGGGGUAGAGCACUGUUAUAGCUAGGGGGUCAUGGCGACUUACCAAACUAUGGCAAACUCCGAAUACCCGCAAGUACAGCUUGGGAGACAGAGCACCGGGUGCUAACGUCCGGACUCAAGAGGGAAACAACCCAGACCGCCAGCUAAGGUCCCAAAUUAUCGCUAAGUGGGAAACGAAGUGGGAAGGCAUAGACAGUCAGGAGGUUGGCUUAGAAGCAGCCAUCAUUUAAAGAAAGCGUAAUAGCUCACUGGUCGAGUCGUCCUGCGCGGAAGAUGU